UCUAUGGAGGGUGUGACUGGCAGGUGCUGCUGCACAGGUGUUGCUCAUCUGAGAGCAAUCAGCUGGGCUACUUAUGGAGUGGAAACCCAGAACGAGGCAUCAGCUUGUUUUCUCACUUGGCGUGGUAACACUAGACCUUUGCUUCUCUCCAGUCCUGCUUCCAAGCAGUUUCUCUGAUCUCCUUGUUUUUCUCCCCUUGCCUUGCAGAUCACCCUUUGCUGAAGGACAUCGUGGAACUUUUCUGGUCUCCGUUUUCACUUGUGUCAUGUUCAGAGGAGUUUGGGAACUCCAGCCUUGACACCUCAGCUCUGAGCCUCCUCUCUGCUUCCAACUCCAAGCCCAGCUUCUCAGGAGCCACCUGUGAACCACCCAUCAACCUGCCUGUCCGCCCUCCAUUGUUAAAACUCUCCAAUCGUAGUGGAGUUUCCUGGAAGAGAAGUAACUAAGCACUUCAUCCUCCGAAAACUUUCACAGCCUGUCAGCCUCAGGCCACCGAGGAGAAGGACUUCUUUCCCCCCGGUCUUGCCAAGAAUCCCACCCCUAGAGACCCCGCAUUCGUCCACCAGCUCCAGUCCUGGUUCCAGUCCAACCUUUAUCCGUAUUUCUAAAUAAACUGUUAAAACAC